rnacentral:lncRNA from 1 species
GGGGUAGGGGUGGGUUUUUUUUUUUGUUGGGGAAACAGGGGUGGGGGGUUCUCUCUUCUCUGGGUUGGGAUCUGGGUAUUACAUCAUUAUCAAGAAAAUUAUCGCUGCUGUCUAUAUUACCUGCUUUUGAUGGUUAUGUGAUGGAAAACAUUAAACAAACCAAAAUAAAAUAUAUUGCCAGUAUUUGAACAUUCCAUUAAAUUGAAGAAUCUGUCGACAUUUCCAGUUACAAGGUGCAAAUUGCAGGAGCAAGAGCCCUCCAACGAGUCCAUAUUGGCAGGUGCCUCGGAACUGCACUCUUGCAUUCUGUGGAUUCAUAGCUUGUGCCUUUUGAUAGCUCCACUUGGACAU